rnacentral:ncRNA from 1 species
GUAGAGCGGUCGCCUGUGAAGUGACGCAGCUUCCUAAAGAAAUUUAGGAAUGAAUAACGAGGUGAAUUGUCUGGAAGCCCUAAUCCGCCCAAGGCGGAAGGGUAAUCAGCAGCCAAUCCUUGGUUGAAUUUUGGAAGGCAUUGCCUUGCCGAAGCUUCAGCGAAGGCAGGUUCAGAGACUAUCCCUAACGGGAGUAGUUCGCCAGCUGGCGAACGAAGCGCCUCGCGUCUAAGUCCUUUUUAUGGAUAUGAUGGUGAUAUAGUCCACCCCUAGAAGUAAUUUUAGG